AUUGAACGCUGGCGGCAGGCCUAACACAUGCAAGUCGAGCGGAUGAAGCGCGCUUGCUCCUGGAUUCAGCGGCGGACGGGUGAGUAAUGCCUAGGUAUCUUCCUGUUAGUUGUGGAUAACGUCCGGAAACGGGCGCUUAUUCCGCAUACGUCCUGCGGGCGGAAGUGGGGGAUCUUCGGACCUCCCGCUAUCAGAUGAGCCUAGGUCGGAUUGGCGGGUUGGUGGGGUAGAGGCCUACCCAGGCGCCGAUCCGUAACUGGUCUGAGAGGAUGUUCAGUCACACUGAGACUGAGACACGGUCUAGACUCCGACAGGCGGCAGCAGUGGCGAAUAGUGGACGAUGGGCGGAAGACUGCUCCAGCCGUGCAGGGCGGGUGCAGAAGGGCUGCGGAUUGGAAGACGCUUUAAGGGGGGUGAAAGGGUUGUGAGUUAAUACCUGGCUGGUUUGACGGUACCAACAGAAUAAGCACCGGCUAACUACGUG
rnacentral:rRNA from 1 species